AGCACCGUUCCGCACCGAAAAAAGACAUCCCCACACCGAACUUCCCCGAUUCAUUUUUAUCGGUGAGGCUUAGCGGUGUCCCCGAUUAGAAUGUGAUCGGGGCCGAGCCCUAGUUGUGGCUGCACCCCUUUAUGGAGAACAAACUCCUUCACGUUAAAAAAUAAGUUUUAGUAACUAUAAUUUAGAUUUUCCCACUUUUCUUUGUUACAGUGGGUACGUUAUUCAUUUCUUCAUUUCCUAAUUUUUUUUCUAACCCCAUUUCUAUCUAGUUUAUUUUUAUUUUAUUACUGUUUGGGAGUGGCUGUAUUUUGCCCGUGGCUCAUUCCUUUGUAGCAGACGAAUUUCUUGCAGGAAGCGAAAUUUUUCUGUUAGAAGAGACGAGCCUUGAAAAGGGUGGUUGGAUUUUUUUGGAAUAUACUGUACAUUGCAAGUUCAGGAUGAACAUACAUUGUUACCAUAAGCAGAAUACAAUUGCUUGUGCGGCGCCUCAGAUGUUGCAAUAACGGCUUGCAGGGACUAAGUGUCAUGAUUGUUUGGAGAAUCCGUUUUUCCCACUAUGCUUUUUUAUCCUAUACGUAUAGGCUAUACGUACCGAAAUUGAAAGACGACAGCGAAGCAUAUGUUCGUUUAUCAGCGGGCUGAUUGAAACCACUGAUAACAAAAAAUUAAAAAAUUUGUACCAAAGACAUCGUUAUCCGUUAACGAGAGUCGGAAAUUUUACGUUGGCACCCCCACCCCCUUUUUCUCUCCCGGUUGAUGUCCGUAUGAGACAUCCGCUGCCAGCACAGAUCUCCGAAGACGGCCAGCGUGCGGACGCCGUGGUCAGGUGUGUUGUAAGUUGUUUUAGUUACUGAAUCGAACUUUACACUGGACACUGGAAAUGUUCGAUAAAAAUGCAUUUGAGAGAAGCUCCCGUAAAUUGUUUUUUGUGUUCAUAAUGGAUUCCAGUUUACCAAAUUGGACAAUGAUAAAUAAUUACUUUGUUAUAGUGUUACCCCAAUAAAUCUGUGACUUGACAAAAUAUAUAUGGUAUAUUUGCCAGGAAUUAUAUGUAAA